GGGUUGUGAGGUUAAGCGACUAAGCGUACACGGUGGAUGCCCUGGCAGUCAGAGGCGAUGAAGGACGUGCUAAUCUGCGAUAAGCGUCGGUAAGGUGAUAUGAACCGUUAUAACCGGCGAUUUCCGAAUGGGGAAACCCAGUGUGAUUCGUCACACUAUCAUUAACUGAAUCCAUAGGUUAAUGAGGCGAACCGGGGGAACUGAAACAUCUAAGUACCCCGAGGAAAAGAAAUCAACCGAGAUUCCCCCAGUAGCGGCGAGCGAACGGGGAGCAGCCCAGAGCCUGAAUCAGUGUGUGUGUUAGUGGAAGCGUCUGGAAAGGCGCGCGAUACAGGGUGACAGCCCCGUACACAA
rnacentral:rRNA from 1 species